GACGAACGCUGGCGGCGUGCUUAACACAUGCAAGUCGAACGAAGUGGCGAACGGGUGAGUAACGCGUAAUCAACCUGCCCUUCAGAGGGGGACAACAGUUGGAAACGACUGCUAAUACCGCAUACUGAAGGAGGGGAUUGCGUCUGAUUGGAUGGUUGGCGGGGUAACGGCCAACCAAGGAGAGGAUAAGUAGCCGGUCUGAUAGGAUGACCGUGCACAUGUGGACUGAGACACGGCCCAGACUCCUACGGGAGGCAGCAGUUGGGAAUCUUCCGCAAUGGACGAAAGUCUGACGGAGCAACGCCGCGUGAGUGAUGACGGCCUUCGGGUUGUAAAGCUCUGUUAAUCGGGACGCGGUACCGGAAUAGAAAGCCACGGCUAACUACGUGCCAGCCGCCGCGGUAAUUC
rnacentral:rRNA from 1 species